CCCGCCCGCGGGACCCCCUUGUCCCCCAAGUCUGGUCAACUUGGCCGGCGGCGGCCGCCGCCCAGGGGUCGCCCCAGCCCCAGCGCCGUGCUUUGUCCGUUCCUGGUUGCGGCGGACCGCCCUAGUGCAGGGCGUCUUCACCGGAGCCCCUGCCGGAGCCCCUGCCGGAGCCCUGGCACCCGGUGUGUCACCGCCGCCGCGGGGCGAGUCUCCGCGUCCCACACCCCUAAGUCCUCCCCUGCUCUCCCUGGGUGAGGGCGCCCCGUCCUGGUUCCUCGAGCCCGCCCGAGUAAGGUGCACCUUUCCGGGGCGCCCGGAGGGAGGCGGGUAGGGCGGUAGGCUCCUAGCCCGGCCGCCCCGUCGGGGGCGCAGGCUUUGGCUCUCUGGCCGGGCAAGGACGUAUGGCUGGCUUUUCUUAUCUUUCUUGGGUUGGAAGGAUAAUGGUUUAUGUCAUAAUUCCUCCCCCCCCCCCAUUUGUGAGUCAGAGCUUUCAGAAGGUAGAACUGAACGCGCAGCCCAUGCGGAGUGGCCUAUUGAAGGAAGCCCAGUCCUCUGGGUUUUAGAGAUUUAGGCCCCCUCCCGCCUUUCGAUCCCCAAAUUUUAUUGUGUUGGGCGGUUCUGGGGGACGUGAGGUAAAGAUUUAGCAACAAGUCCCAGCGAUUUGGGGCUUGGAAGUGGCCAGGAAGAAUCGGCGACUUACGAAAAACGCCAACAAUACGUGUUUUGAAUUUUAUUACUUGAGCUGAAAUAUUCUAAAGAUGUAACCACUCUCUUUUUUGCACACUGCUUAAGAUGAGAAGAAAUCAUUUAUAUGGAAACUAGAAUAGCUGAUAUUCCAGACUAAGAGCCAAAAAAAUGUGUGUCAGAGUCAGCUAGCAAACACCAGGAAAGCGGCUGUGAAGGAAGAUUGAAAUUUAAAUUCAUAUUAGCCUCUUGAGCCAAUAUUUUUGUGCAUGGCCCAUUGUACUUUUCUAUUUGCCUUGAGUUGGCACUGGACAUUGAAUAAACCUUGAAGACAUAAAUGAAAAUGCGUAUGAGUAUGGAAAUGUGUAAGGAUAUGGAAGUGUCCUUGGUGCAAUAAAGCGCAUAAUGCA